GAUGAACGCUGACAGAAUGCUUAACACAUGCAAGUCAACUUGAAUUUGGGUUUUUACCUUAGGUUUGGGUGGCGGACGGGUGAGUAACGUGUAAAGAACUUGCCUCACAGCUAGGGACAACAUUUGGAAACGAAUGCUAAUACCUAAUAUUAUGAUAAUAGGUCAUCCUAUAAUUAUGAAAGCUAUAAGCGCUGUGAGAGAGCUUUGCGUCCCAUUAGCUAGUUGGGGAGGUAACGGCUCACCAAGGCGAUGAUGGGUAGCCGGCCUGAGAGGGUGAUCGGCAAAAAGGGAACGGGGACACGGCCCUUACCCUUACGGGAGGCAGCAGUGGGGAAUAUUGAACAAGGGACCAAGAGUCUUACACAGACAUUGUGUGUGCAAGAUGAAGUUUCUCGGAAUGUAAAGUGCUUUCAGUUGAGAAGAAAGAAAUGACGGUAAUAACAGAAGAAGUGACGGCUAAAUACGUG
rnacentral:rRNA from 1 species